rnacentral:rRNA from 1 species
GAUGAACGCUGGCGGCGUGCUUAACACAUGCAAGUCGAACGAUGAAGCCCAGCUUGCUGGGUGGAUUAGUGUCGAACAGGUGAGUAACACGUGAGUAACCUGCCCUUAACUCUGGGAUAAGCCUGUGAAACUGGGUCUAAUACCGGACAGGAGCGUCCACCUCAUGUUGUGUGUUGGAAAGAUUUAUCGGUUUUGGAUGGACUCGCGGCCUAUCAGCUUGUUGGUGAGUUAAUGGCUCACCAAGGCGACGACGGGUAGCCGGCCUGAGAGGGUGACCGGCCACACUGGGACUGAGACACGGCCCAGACUCCUACGGGAGGCAGCAGUGGGGAAUAUUGCACAAUGGGCGCAAGCCUGAUGCAGCGACGCCGCGUGAGGGAUGACGGCCUUCGGGUUGUAAACCUCUUUCAGUAGGGAAGAAGCGAAAGUGACGGUACCUGCAGAAGAAGCACCGGCUAACUACGUG